GUGGAAAUCAAAUUAAUUAUCUAGAGCAUUCGUCUGCAAAUCGAGAGGUCCCUGGUUCAAACCCAGGUUCCCUCA